UACAAUUUUUAUUAUAUUAACGUGUUAAAAGUUAUUACGAGUGUUUAAAUUUGAAAAUAAUCUCUUUCUUACGAAUAGUAAACAGUAAGUAUCAUGUGUGAGUCUAACCUUCUUGCAAAUGACUCAAGAAGGCUAGUAACAUUUAACAAUAAAUAUUUUGUGUGUGACUUACGUACGUAUAGUAUCUAUUAAUCGUUGAAUUUGGCAAGAGAGUCGCAAUAAAUGUUCUAUUUGAUGAAAAUUUGUUCGUAAUUAGCAUUGUAACUCUUUAGAGAAAGAUUAGCGUGAAGCGAAGCGAAUUGCUUUGACAUAAGUAUCUAUAUUAUGUGUAUGCGAAUAGAGUAGUUAUUCUAAAUGAUAUAGUAGACUGUAGUCACUUACGUCACGUAUAUCACUGACCUAUAUCACGCUAUCCGAAUUAUAACCUCGUCGUAACUUUUAUCUUAUUUCAAUGCUAUUCUUUUGAUGUAAUUCUUGUAACUUUACCGUUUUUUUUCAAUUUACGAUUUAUUUUCAACGAAGAAAUUUCGGAAAUUUUUUUUUUUUAUUUUCAAUUUUUUAGGUAGAUAAAGAGACCCCGAACUUUAGAUCCACAAUAACACCAACACAUCACACGAAGGUACACAAAAUACUAAAUAUAAUUCAUUAAAUUCAUAUUCGGUGUUUCGAUAAAUAUAUAUAUAUAUACAAUUAAAAUAUACACAUUAUCGUUAUAGAUAUUAUCGAGAGAUAGUACUGAGCCUGAAUCUGAUGAUGAAAUCGAGGAUAUUUGGGCUUCAGUGCCAAGAGAACCCGAAAUAAGAUCCAUUAUAAAAAGAGAGGAAAAAUUACAACCGGAUAACACCAAUCGUGACGAAUUAGUGCUUGAUAAUUACGAGGUAUAUAACAAAUGAAUUUUUUUUUUUGUUAAAUUUAUGAUUACUUAUAAAAAUAUAAAUUUUAGGAUGCAUUUAUAUCAA